rnacentral:rRNA from 1 species
GAUGAACGCUGGCGGCGUGCUUAACACAUGCAAGUCGAACGAAGCACUUUAUUUGAUUUCCUUCGAGACUGAUUAUUUUGUGACUGAGUGGCGGACGGGUGAGUAACGCGUGGGUAACCUGCCUUGUACAGGGGGAUAACAGUUGGAAACGGCUGCUAAUACCGCAUAAGCGCACGGCAUCGCAUGAUGCAGUGUGAAAAACUCCGGUGGUAUAAGAUGGACCCGCGUUGGAUUAGCUAGUUGGUGAGGUAACGGCCCACCAAGGCGACGAUCCAUAGCCGACCUGAGAGGGUGACCGGCCACAUUGGGACUGAGACACGGCCCAAACUCCUACGGGAGGCAGCAGUGGGGAAUAUUGCACAAUGGGCGAAAGCCUGAUGCAGCGACGCCGCGUGAGCGAAGAAGUAUUUCGGUAUGUAAAGCUCUAUCAGCAGGGAAGAUAAUGACGGUACCUGACUAAGAAGCACCGGCUAAAUACGUG